GGUUAAGCGACUAAGCGUACACGGUGGAUGCCCUGGCAGUCAGAGGCGAUGAAGGACGUGCUAAUCUGCGAUAAGCGUCGGUAAGGUGAUAUGAACCGUUAUAACCGGCGAUUUCCGAAUGGGGAAACCCAGUGUGAUUCGUCACACUAUCAUUAACUGAAUCCAUAGGUUAAUGAGGCGAACCGGGGGAACUGAAACAUCUAAGUACCCCGAGGAAAAGAAAUCAACCGAGAUUCCCCCAGUAGCGGCGAGCGAACGGGGAGCAGCCCAGAGCCUGAAUCAGUGUGUGUGUUAGUGGAAGCGUCUGGAAAGGCGUGCGAUACAGGGUGACAGCCCCGUACACAAAAAUGCACAUGCUGUGAGCUCGAUGAGUAGGGCGGGACACGUGGUAUCCUGUCUGAAUAUGGGGGGACCAUCCUCCAAGGCUAAAUACUCCUGACUGACCGAUAGUGAACCAGUACCGUGAGGGAAAGGCGAAAAGAACCCCGGCGAGGGGAGUGAAAAAGAACCUGAAACCGUGUACGUACAAGCAGUGGGAGCACAGAGCAAUCUGUGUGACUGCGUACCUUUUGUAUAAUGGGUCAGCGACUUAUAUUCUGUAGCAAGGUUAACCGAAUAGGGGAGCCGAAGGGAAACCGAGUCUUAACUGGGCGUUAAGUUGCAGGGUAUAGACCCGAAACCCGGUGAUCUAGCCAUGGGCAGGUUGAAGGUUGGGUAACACUAACUGGAGGACCGAACCGACUAAUGUUGAAAAAUUAGCGGAUGACUUGUGGCUGGGGGUGAAAGGCCAAUCAAACCGGGAGAUAGCUGGUUCUCCCCGAAAGCUAUUUAGGUAGCGCCUCGUGAAUUCAUCUCCGGGGGUAGAGCACUGUUUCGGCAAGGGGGUCAUCCCGACUUACCAACCCGAUGCAAACUGCGAAUACCGGAGAAUGUUAUCACGGGAGACACACGGCGGGUGCUAACGUCCGUCGUGAAGAGGGAAACAACCCAGACCGCCAGCUAAGGUCCCAAAGUCAUGGUUAAGUGGGAAACGAUGUGGGAAGGCCCAGACAGCCAGGAUGUUGGCUUAGAAGCAGCCAUCAUUUAAAGAAAGCGUAAUAGCUCACUGGUCGAGUCGGCCUGCGCGGAAGAUGUAACGGGGCUAAACCAUGCACCGAAGCUGCGGCAGCGACACUAUGUGUUGUUGGGUAGGGGAGCGUUCUGUAAGCCUGCGAAGGUGUGCUGUGAGGCAUGCUGGAGGUAUCAGAAGUGCGAAUGCUGACAUAAGUAACGAUAAAGCGGGUGAAAAGCCCGCUCGCCGGAAGACCAAGGGUUCCUGUCCAACGUUAAUCGGGGCAGGGUGAGUCGACCCCUAAGGCGAGGCCGAAAGGCGUAGUCGAUGGGAAACAGGUUAAUAUUCCUGUACUUGGUGUUACUGCGAAGGGGGGACGGAGAAGGCUAUGUUGGCCGGGCGACGGUUGUCCCGGUUUAAGCGUGUAGGCUGGUUUUCCAGGCAAAUCCGGAAAAUCAAGGCUGAGGCGUGAUGACGAGGCACUACGGUGCUGAAGCAACAAAUGCCCUGCUUCCAGGAAAAGCCUCUAAGCAUCAGGUAACAUCAAAUCGUACCCCAAACCGACACAGGUGGUCAGGUAGAGAAUACCAAGGCGCUUGAGAGAACUCGGGUGAAGGAACUAGGCAAAAUGGUGCCGUAACUUCGGGAGAAGGCACGCUGAUAUGUAGGUGAAGCGACUUGCUCGUGGAGCUGAAAUCAGUCGAAGAUACCAGCUGGCUGCAACUGUUUAUUAAAAACACAGCACUGUGCAAACACGAAAGUGGACGUAUACGGUGUGACGCCUGCCCGGUGCCGGAAGGUUAAUUGAUGGGGUCAGCGCAAGCGAAGCUCUUGAUCGAAGCCCCGGUAAACGGCGGCCGUAACUAUAACGGUCCUAAGGUAGCGAAAUUCCUUGUCGGGUAAGUUCCGACCUGCACGAAUGGCGUAAUGAUGGCCAGGCUGUCUCCACCCGAGACUCAGUGAAAUUGAACUCGCUGUGAAGAUGCAGUGUACCCGCGGCAAGACGGAAAGACCCCGUGAACCUUUACUAUAGCUUGACACUGAACAUUGAGCCUUGAUGUGUAGGAUAGGUGGGAGGCUUUGAAGUGUGGACGCCAGUCUGCAUGGAGCCGACCUUGAAAUACCACCCUUUAAUGUUUGAUGUUCUAACGUUGACCCGUAAUCCGGGUUGCGGACAGUGUCUGGUGGGUAGUUUGACUGGGGCGGUCUCCUCCUAAAGAGUAACGGAGGAGCACGAAGGUUGGCUAAUCCUGGUCGGACAUCAGGAGGUUAGUGCAAUGGCAUAAGCCAGCUUGACUGCGAGCGUGACGGCGCGAGCAGGUGCGAAAGCAGGUCAUAGUGAUCCGGUGGUUCUGAAUGGAAGGGCCAUCGCUCAACGGAUAAAAGGUACUCCGGGGAUAACAGGCUGAUACCGCCCAAGAGUUCAUAUCGACGGCGGUGUUUGGCACCUCGAUGUCGGCUCAUCACAUCCUGGGGCUGAAGUAGGUCCCAAGGGUAUGGCUGUUCGCCAUUUAAAGUGGUACGCGAGCUGGGUUUAGAACGUCGUGAGACAGUUCGGUCCCUAUCUGCCGUGGGCGCUGGAGAACUGAGGGGGGCUGCUCCUAGUACGAGAGGACCGGAGUGGACGCAUCACUGGUGUUCGGGUUGUCAUGCCAAUGGCACUGCCCGGUAGCUAAAUGCGGAAGAGAUAAGUGCUGAAAGCAUCUAAGCACGAAACUUGCCCCGAGAUGAGUUCUCCCUGACUCCUUGAGAGUCCUGAAGGAACGUUGAAGACGACGACGUUGAUAGGCCGGGUGUGUAAGCGCAGCGAUGCGUUGAGCUAACCGGUACUAAUGAACCGUGAGGCUUAACCUU
rnacentral:rRNA from 1 species